UUGGCACCUCGAUGUCGGCUCAUCUCAUCCUUGGGCUGAAGCAGGUCCCAAGGGUAUGGCUGUUCGCCAUUUAAAGAGGUACGCGAGCUGGGUUUAGAACGUCGUGAGACAGUUCGGUCCCUAUCUACCGUGGGCGUUGGAAAUUUGAGAGGAUCUGCUCCUAGUACGAGAGGACCAGAGUGGACGAACCUCUGGUGUUCCGGUUGUCACGCCAGUGGCACUGCCGGGUAGCUACGUUCGGAUGGGAUAACCGCUGAAAGCAUCUAAGCGGGAAGCCUACCUCAAGAUAAGAUUUCCCUAGGACUUUAUGUCCUCUAAAGAGCCGUUGAAGACUACGACGUUGAUAGGUUGGAUGUGGAAGCAUAGUGAUAUGUGAAGCUGACCAAUACUAAUUGCUCGUGAGGCUUGACUAUACAACACCCAAACAGUUGG
rnacentral:rRNA from 1 species